AGUUUCUGGAGAGAUGGAAGAUGUAGUUGGCGCGAAAGUCUCAGCAGGGCGAGAGCUCUGGAAAAACACGAAGUUCUACCAAGGGCAGGACAAGAAACAGGAAUAGUAUGAUUUUCUCAGGAGAUUAGAAGAAGCAGUUAAAAGGAAAGCUGGAGAAUUAAGAUCACCUAUAUAUAUAUGUGUAUUAAUCAUUACAUCAUAACUGACAUUAUCAACGUGCUGCUCAUCCAAGACUCUUACAAACACUUCACAGCCAAGCAGAUACUGAAGGAGAAAAAAAUACUUUUUUUUGCUAGAAGACUUCACCAGCAAGCUGAAAUGCAACUGAUGCAGUGUGAUGUCAUGCCCUGAAACUUAAAAGUAAAUAGCUUUUGAGAAUUGGAGAAGAUUGAGAGAAUACCUACGCUGCCUCCACUAAAAGACUGGAAACUGUAAGUCAGCUUGCUGCCUUAGUGAGUGGGGGAAAAAAAUUACAUAUACUACCCAGAAGAUCUCUGUCAGCACAAAAUAACCAACAUAGGAGCAACUCUACAGCCAAAAGAAUUCCUUUAGACUCUUCUGUGAAGUGGAAUGAUAUUUUCAUGGCUAAUGCUGAAAGCAGUGUGCAUACAGAUGGAAUUACACACCUAUUUCAAAGUGAAACGUUAAUUUAUUCAGUGGAAGAAUGCACUUCUAGUGACUGUGCCUCAAUAAAACCUCAGUCUGGCUGUGAAACUUGAUUUCCAUUACCAGCUACAGAAGAAGGAGCUACUAUUCUAGUUACUGCAAGUUUUUUAUUACUGUAACUAUAUUCUGGGUGCUUGGUGCCUAUGGCAGUAGUACAUUUUUACUGCAUAAUAACAAAUCAAUUAUUCCAGUAUAGCUAUAAAUAUUUACGGUCAGUGGGAAAGGCUAAUAUAUCCUCCUGUUAUACUCUGCCUUGAACAUUCAUUGUUAUAUUAUUUCUAGUGUCUUUAGUCAAGUAUUUCUAUAUCAUUUAGAACUGCCAAUCCAAUCCAUUUAUUGGAAUUUUUAAUUUCUGGAAGUCUCUGUGUAGAAUGGCUCUUCCAGUGUCUUGAGAUUCGAUCUACUUAUGCAAGAUAUAUAAGUAAAUUUGAAAUUAUAUGUUUAAUGAUGAAAAUCAGAUCUUAUGCUGAAAAUUACUUGAGGCAGACAUGAAGUCUCCCCAAUCUUGCAAAGCGGAGUUUCAAAUAAACCUGUGAUGCUU
rnacentral:lncRNA from 7 species